rnacentral:rRNA from 1 species
AACGAAUGCUGGCGGCAUGCCUAACACAUGCAAGUCGAACGAGAUCUUCGGGUCUAGUGGCGCACGGGUGCGUAACGCGUGGGAAUCUGCCCUUUGGUUCGGAAUAACAGUUGGAAACGACUGCUAAUACCGGAUGAUGACGAAAGUCCAAAGAUUUAUCGCCAGAGGAUGAGCCUGCGUAGGAUUAGCUAGUGGGGGUGGUAAAGGCGCACAAAGGCGACAGUCCUUAGCUGGUCUGAGAGGAUGAGCAGCCACACUGGGACGGGGACACGGCCCAGACUCCUACGGGAGGCAGCAGUGGGGAAUAUUGGACAAUGGGCGAAAGCCUGAUCCAGCAACGCCGGGUGAGUGAUGAAGGCCUUAAGGUUGUAAAGCUCUUUUACCCGGGAUGAUAAUGACAGUACCGGGAGAAUAAGCUCCGGCUAACUCCGUGCCAGCCGCCGCCGUAA